rnacentral:rRNA from 1 species
CCUGGCCGCACUAGCGCGGUGGUCCCACCUGACCCCAUGCCGAACUCAGAAGUGACACGCCGUAGCGCCGAUGGUAGUGGGGCUAGCG